GGCUAGAGACGAGGCGAGCCCUAGAAAAUAUCUCCCCCGUGUCUCCUCGUCCCCUCUUUCCUCCGCCGGCUCCCAUCCCUGCCCUUCCUCUCCUCCGCCGUUCCCCAUCCGCCGCCACCGCCGCCGUGCCAGCCCCGCACCACCGUCUUUCGCGUUGGCUUCUCCUUUCCCCAAGCCGCUGCUAUCCUGCUCGUCACGUUGACUGCCGACGAUAGGAGGAGACCCGGGGGAGCAGAGGAGGGAGGUGGACGACGGGGUGAGGAGGCACGAGGGUGAGCAGGAGGUGGGGGUCAGAGGAUGCAGCGGCGCUGGGUUCUCUCCCCACGCCACCAUGUCGUUUGUUCUUCCUCCCUAAGGUUCAGAUCUGAAGCGGGAGAGACACACGUGCAAAGUGGCAGAAGAGGGAACAGGGUGAGGGUUGUGAUGGGAACGCCAGGACGACGGCGAGAAGUGGAUCUCUGAGCUGGCUGCCGGUCCUCUCAGGUACAAGAUUUCACUCCAUGCCAUAGACGUGCAACAUGAUGGUGUAACAUACCAAAGUUAUUGGGCCGUGUGAACUGUGCAGGUUCGGGAGACAAGGAAGGAACCAGAUGCUCCCAAAGUUCUUCUGGUUGAGUCGAUUACUUACUAGCAAUGAUAUUCACAAUGAGAAGCCUUUAUAGCAGGCUACUUUGAUUGAUUCCCAAACUAUGGCUUAGUUACAAAUAUUUUGGUGGUGAUGUUUCAUACACCAGUCCAGUGUUGCUACCCAAUGAUGAGUUGUAUGAAGCACUUUGAAAUGCUUUGAAGAAAGUCUUUUAGGUGGUGGUUCUACUGCUGCUACUUCUGUGACAGCCAAGGCGUAGGUUGCAGCUCGCAGAGCUUUAAGGAGGAAAGGAAGACAUGAUUUCUUCUUGAAGAGGCCUUCAAGUGCAUGUGGAAGUGUAGCAUGCAAGCAUUAUGCGACAAUGACACACUGCUUAUCGUACGCUCACACCCUCUAAAGACCACAAUCAGACUAAGAAGAUGCUUAAAUAAGCUGUAAACCAAUAUAAGUCAUUCUACUAUAUAUAUCUGUACUAUUAUCUGUAAUACAAUCCACAUUGCAUUAUAUUUCCAGCUACAUCUCCUACUAA